rnacentral:misc_RNA from 1 species
GAUGAAGAACGCAACGAAAUGCGAUAAGUAAUGUGAAUUGCAGAAUUCAGUGAAUCAUCGAAUCUUUGAACGCACAUUGCGCCCGCCAGUAUUCUGGCGGGCAUGCCUGUUCGAGCGUCAUUUCAACCAUCAAGCCCUGCUUGCGUUGGGGUCCUGCGGCUGCCCGCAGGCCCUGAAAACCAGUGGCGGGCUCGCUAGUCACACCGAGCGCAGUAAUACAUCUCGCUUUGGGCGUGCGGCGGGUUCUUGCCGUUAAACACCCCCUUUUUACCAAGGUUGACCUCGGAUCAGGUAGGAAUACCCGCUGAACUUAAGCAUAUCAAUAAGCGGAGGA